GUUUUCCUUGCUUAGUUGUUAGAGCAUGAGACUCUUAAUCUCAAAGUUGUGGGUUCAAGCCCCAUUUUUUGUAAAAGA